UUCUUAAAAGAACAGCUCCCCCCAUCAUCUGCUUUCCCUCUUGCAGAAAAUCUGGAGCUCUUUUGCAAGUGCAGCAGAAAAUAUGGUUUUUUUUUUUUUAAGAUGCUUCUACUUUAAAAUAAUUCCAUAUGAGCAAAAACCAGCUUUUAUGACUCAGGUUUGGUCACUUUUUUUAUUUUGGUGGUAUUUUUGGUUUUUUUUUGUUUUUUUGUUUUUUUUUUGUUUUUUUGUUUUUGUUUUUGUUUUUGGUACUUCCUUGUCCUUUUUCUGCAUCUCUGAACAGAAGAAAGUAACUUUCUAAUGAGUGCUGCUGAAGGAGUUUCACAGUCCUUGUUAAAAUGAUUUGUUGGCUUCAGGACUUCCAUUGGCAAGAUGGAAUCCCUUACCACUGAGAAGAUGCAGACCCCUCAAGUGGCAUUUAGCAUUACCUUCAGGAUCAGCCCCUUGCUGCUUCAUCCAGCACUGUUGAUGCCAAUAGAAGUUUCACCCUGGAUUUCAGACCUGAUCAGGCCUGAGGAUUGUGGUCCUUUCAUCCUUUGGGCAGUUAAGAUGUUUAUGACCUUCCACAGGGUCUGCAGGCACUGUGAUAGAGGUUGGGCCUGGUGCCACACAUGGUGGGAGCUUUGCCCUGAAGUGCUGACAGUCUCUAAGUUUAGAUGUGGAGCAAUGAGUGGGAAUAACAAGCAAAAGUGGGCAAUAGGCACAGUGAAGGUCAUGGCAGUGGGACCAAGGUUACUCUGAUCUGGCAGGUGAAUAUCCUGAUGCCUGCACUGAUUAAAUAGUGAUUAAAUCACCAGCUGCAGGCUGGAAGGAAGAAGCCAGACCUUAGAGGGAUGUGGCUGUGGGGAGACCUGGAGAGCAAACAUCAGGAGGACAGUUCAUGUCCAGAGGACUAGAGUAGCUUGUCCACUACUUUAGUUGUUUAGGCAUUUAAAACACACUGGGUAAAUCACUGACAAGAAUGCCCAAAAGAACAAUGUUGCAUCAGUUAUCUUCCUGAGCAUUUGACUGGAUUGAUUUUUAUUUAUACUAGACAAAAAGGGUUAUUAGUCGUGCUUCAUCUUUAUUCUGAAUGUCUUUAAUUUGGACAUCCAUUAAAUUUGGAAGUUUUCCAUGUGAUGCCAGUGAGGCUGUUGGAUUGUAGUCAUGACUUACAACCAAACAUCUUUCUUGCUUCGUGUUGCUGACCGCAGCUUUGGUUAUGAAAUGGGAAAGAAUGUUAAACUCCAGUGUAUUUUUCUCUGUGGAUUUUGUUUAUUUUUAUUUUUAACAUUUCGAUUGGACAAUGAAAUGUCAGUGAUGACAAUUGCAAGUCUUUAGGUACAAGUUUGCCUUUCAGCCAUUGCGUGGGAGUGAUUAUUUGCUUUUAAAAACUGACAGAUGUGGAUUUUUAGUACCUUUUUCUUAAUAAUCUCUGGGAAAAUGGCCUUACAUAAAAGGCUGCUGUAUGAAAAGGUAAGACCAUGGCCAGUUUGGGAUGACAACAUCUUUUUCAUGUGUUGCUAACUUUUCCAGCGAGCAGCAGCAACAAGCUGAGCAAAGGUUGGAGGCAGCAUGCUUCUUCUGUUUCCCUUGAAUUCCUUUCAUCAGUCCAGUGACUACGUGAGUCCUGAUGACACAUUUCUGGAUCACAUGUGCCAGAAAGAUGGACUAUAUGGAGACACAUGGCAUGGAAACUAUUCUAGCUGGAGACCAGUUACAUACACAGGUUUCAGACAUGCUGUAAAUGUGUAUAUUCUUCACAUGGACUUUAUUAAUAGCACAAGACUGAGACAGGGGGAGCCAGUUACAUUGCUCCACAUAUAAGUAAAGCAGCAGAAAUAAAAUCUUUCUUGUUCCUUAUUGUAUUAAAAGU